AAUUCCAGUAUUUCCUCUCCCCAUGUUUUCCCACUCUUCCCCCAACAUAGUUGCUCUGAAGAUGUGGGAAGGGAUGAAAGGGGAAAGAGGGCAUUUGAGUUCUUUUUCCUUCUAUUAAUCUCCCUUCCUAAUUUUACCUAUUUAUUUUCAUAUGUCCACAAUAUUUUCAACAUGAUCAGGUCAGCCUACAACAUCAUGUAUGUUGAGUGUACAAAAACUUUUCAGGAGUCAAUGGACAAUUCAGAACUCCAAAGAGUAAAAAAAAUUUGUGAAAUAUGGACACAUUUUGAAAUAGACACUCGUAGGUGGUUUUAGGCAAUUCAUGUUCCAAUACUGAGCUCAUUAGCCUGGAGAGUACACCAAAGGAAAACUGGUGGGAAGAAUUGUUUUGAUUUCCUUAUCAAUGGAUAGAUAUGAAUAGAUAGGUUGAUAAGUAGACAGAGAGAUAGCUGACAGAUGUAAGAGAUGGACAUACAGAUACAGUACAGAUAAUGAAAAUAAUAUGUAAUGCAGGCUGUGUGUUUCCAACUUCUAUAAUUCUCUUUUCCCUUUUCAAUGGUAAAAGCUCAUACUGCUUGACUUUCUGCACCUUGAAAUGAGCUUAAACCAAAUGAUUUGCUCUCUGACAUGACCAAACAUCCACUAAGUGAUGACCAAGUAGUGAUGAUAAAGUGAAGUACAUGGGGACGUGUGAGACACUGUGAGGGAGUGGACAAGCUUUUCUCACAGAACCUUCUGUCUAGCUGGUGGCACAGCUAAGAAUAGGUUUUUAAAAGGAUGAAAGAUUACUAGGAGGGGUGGACAAAAAGUAUAGCAAGUAAGAAAAGAUUCAUUAUACCAUCUAUACGUUCUCUUGCUUCUGAGAAAAGAAAGAUUUUUGUGCAUUAGAAAGUUGGUAAGAAGAUGGAAGACAAAGGUGUUGAGCUCAGUUUUACAAUACAGAUUUUUGUGAGACCGAGAGAAAGAUGAAAGAUAAAGAUGGUAUGAUAUUCCAGUUAUGAGCAGCUCAAGAGGAAAAUGCAAUACAUCAACAAGAUUACAAUUAGGAAACAAUACCAAUAUUUAUAUACACAAGAAAAACAGUAAGCUUGGUUGGACCUCCAUUUUCUCAGCUGUAAAAUAUAAGAAUUGAAUUACUUUCUCUCUGUGGAAUCUUUGAAAUUGAACAUUAAAUUAGCAUUAGUUUUUAUUAUAAAGAAAGAGCAAGUUCUUUUUAUUUCUCCAACAUCAUACAAAACUAACAAAAGGUAGAGUGUUUGGAAAUAUGCACAUUACAAUUUAAAUAUGACAGACUGGGAUUUAAAUCUUGGUUGAACCAUUUGUUGUCUAGGAAACUUGGGCCAGACAGUUAACUCUGUAGAGCUUUGACUUCCUUAUCAAUGGAUAGAUAGAGAUAGAUAGGUUGAUAAGUAGAUAGAGAGAUAGCUGACAGAUGUUAGAGAUGGACAUAUAGAUACAGUAAGUUAAAUAAUUAGCCUUCUCGAUAGUGAAAAUAGUAUGUAAUGGUACUAUAUAUAAUAACUGGUUAUGCAGGAGACCCUGCAAAAAUUUAGUUACAUUUCUUACUAUCUAUGGAGGAAAUACCAAUGGAUUGGCAUCAUGCAGUCUGAGUUCAAGUCUCUGCUCUGCAAUAGAUUAUCUAAAAAAAUGAACUUUGAACUUGAUCAUUGUUUACGUCUACUUCAGUACCACUCAAGGAUUUUGGAGAAAAAAAAGUCAAAAUAUUUAUGGAGCAAUAUGCAUUGUGUAGAAUGCAGCAGUGAGGAUGUUGAACAGCUAGAGAAUGCUAUCACUAGCCCUUAGUUUCACAUUGUUUUUAAAUUUUAGCUUGGCAGAUAUUCCCCUCCUGUCGUUGGCCCCCUGAUGCUUUUGAUAACUUAUGAUUUCUUUUCAAUGAGCUUUGAGAUUCUUGGAUACUAUUUAGUUGCACAACAUUUUCAUUCUGCUGUUCUAAUUAACAACAUAAUGAAGAAUUAUAAGCAGCUUUACAAUUAUCUCUUGCAUAAUGUUUUUAUUUUAUUAUUUUUUAUAUAUUAUUAGAAGAGCAACAUAAAACAUACCAUCAGUUUUACACCAAACAUAUUUCAUCUAAAAAAUGCCAUGCAGCAUGUUUCAGGGAUAAAUGCCACUUAUAAACAUGGUAUUAUAAGGCAUAUUGAAGUUUCACGUACUAAAAGACUGGAGUGGCUAUUGGUGGUCAAUGAAUAAUGGAUAGAAAUGAUGAAUGACUUUGUGAGAUAAGGGAUAAUUAGAUUUGGCAUGUGCACCCACCAUUUAAGCAAAUUGGUAUGUGGAACGCAAGGUUGAAAGAGAUACAGACAAACGACACUAAGCUUCGAUGAUUCAAAUGGAUCUCCAGGGAAUGGAUGAUCCAAAUUCUUUUCUAAUUUUUCCCCAACAACCCAAUGCAACCAGAAAAGGUAACCAUGGAUCUUAUUUUUACACUAGCAAUGGUUGCCUCAGCAACAGUGACAAACUCUGAAGCCCAAGCAAGCCUCUUCACACCUUUCUGUCUUCGGGUCAUUUACCCUUUUCCCAGAGCUCUGUCAUUUACUCAAACAAUGCUCUAUGGUUUCACUACCUCUGAACACAGUGAUACUGGGGGGCAACAAAAGCUUUGGCAAAAUUGUAAAGAAGGAACAAUUUUCUGCAAUGUCUCCUAAAAAUCUCCCCAGCUCAGAUUGCCAGAGAACAUACACAACCACGUACAUAGGCAUGCACACCCUCUGCAGGUGAUGGACUGCUUUGGAUCCUCUUCAUCCUUAGCAAACCAGUUAUGUCUUACUUCCUUCGUUUAAGUUUUCUAGUUAGAUCAAUGAAAUCAUCCAUGUCAAUGUGUUAAUGCUACAUGUAAAAUCUCAAGCUAGAGAUACAUUGUUAUGUCAUAAUCAGAAGAGUUUUUCUAAAUCUCAGGAAUUCCCCAGAUGAAAUCCAAAAUGGACCCCCAUACACAGUUCUCAAGGAGGGAAUAAAGAAAGAGGCAGACCACUCCAUAUGGGUAGGUGGCAGUUCUUGUAAUUGAGGGAACUUACCUGAGUCUUCUCCUGGGUGGCCUCAACACAAGUAGAUCUCCACACCUGCCCACUAGAAUCUUAAGACUUUAUAUAAAGGCUUUAAUGGGGUUCAUUCAAAUAUACUUAAUAACAUAUUAAGAUGGUCUUAAUAACAUAUUACUCUCUCAAGGAUGCAUCUUUAAAGUAGCUCCUAGAAAACGAAUAGUGGGCAAAACAUAUGUUCCAAGGACAGGGGAGGGGGAAGGAACCUGCCCUUGUCUAGGUGUGGCUCCAAGGGUCAAUCAGCAAUCAUGUCUUCUCAAUGAACUCCUCCAACAAUGAGAAAGUAACAAAAGUAAUAUUACCAAUUCUAGUAAUAGUUCUAAUGUUAGUUAAAAUGCAAAAAUUAUGUGAAGGAAAUUUUAUUUAAUUUAGACUUUCUUCAAUGUUAUCAGUAUAAAAAAUAAUCACUUGGCUUGAAAUGUGCUGUUAUGUGUACCUAGUUGGAGUGAAAUGAGUGGAAUUACAAUUAAAAUGCAGUCUCAAAAUUCCCUUGUGGAGCAGCAGGAUAUGGAUCUGGCAUUGUCGCCAUAUCUGCUUGGGUCACUGCUGUGGCAUGGCUCUAAUCCCUGGCCCAGGAAAUUCAACAUGCCAAAGGGGUGGCAAAAAAUAAAUAAAAAGCAAUCUUAUAAGCAGGUUAGGGAGCAAAGGUGGGGAGUCUGAUAGCACAUGCAGGGGGUCUAGGUUGUGAAUACAGUCCUUUGAGGAAAAAUCAUUGGUGAAUGCUGAUUGAUAAAUGGGUUUUAUUCUUCAGUAACAUUUCUAAUUUUAAAUGGAUUCACACAGACAUGGUGGAAUAUAUGAACGGGUACUGCUAGGAAUUAGGGUGAGGUUUUCAUUAAAUCAACUGCCUGCUCAUCAUACGCUCUUUUGUCUGUGUUUUCAGUAGGACAACACACAAAAGGAAUCAUUGCUAUGAAAGAACCAAAACACAAGAAUAAAGGCUGCAUAAAAGCCUGAUAUCUUAAUACAUAGCUCUGGCAGAGUUUAGCUUUGCCUAGCCAAUGUGAGACCUUAUAUGUUGUCCAAAAGCCUUCACCUCAAGAACUUAGCACCCUCUGACUGUCAUGUGGGUAAAGGAAGUAGAGAGGAGGUAAGUAUGAGAUGGCCAGUCCUGGAAAACUAGCCAUUGAUGAACUCUUCCUCCUACAUCAGCACCAAGGAGUUAGAAAAGAAAUAGAAGAAAAAUAGAGACAGAAAAGAUAGAUGUGUAUGAUUUAGUGCACACUCAACAUUAGUGCACAUAACUUAAUUAUUGUUUGAUUACUGACUAAUCAGAUUAAAAGUGUCUUCUUUAUAUGACCAAAAAUAUACCUUAUGAAACUAUUGACAAUAAUGAGAAUAUGAGGCUAACAUAGGAGACAUUUACAGGCAGAAAAUAUUCAGAUUUUUUAAAAAAGACACAUAUACAUAGUGUGUAUAUGUAUUAUUUAUAUAUAAUAUUAAAAUAGAAUAGAUAUAAUUAAUAUAUAUACACCAUAAAACAAUAUGUCAAAAUAUAAACCAAAACAAA
rnacentral:lncRNA from 1 species